UACGAAGGGUGCAAGCGUUACUCGGAAUUACUGGGCGUAAAGCGUGCGCAGGCGGAUGCAUAAGUCAGACGUGAAAGCCCCGGGCUUAACCUGGGAACGGCGUUUGAAACUGUGCGUCUAGAGUGCGUCAGAGGGGGGUGGAAUUCCGCGUGUAGCAGUGAAAUGCGUAGAGAUGCGGAGGAACACCGAUGGCGAAGGCAGCCCCCUGGGAUGACACUGACGCUCAUGCACGAAAGCGUGGGGAGCAAACAGG
rnacentral:rRNA from 1 species